UCCACUCCAUGAACAAAAAACCCAACUCCAAGAAACCCCUGCUGUCCCAAGGUUGGAUCCACUCCAUGACCAAAAAAUCCAACUGCAGGAAACCCCUGCUGUGCCAGGCUGGAUUAUUUUUGGAUCUCUUCCACUCCAUGAGCAAAAAACCCAACUCCAGAAAACCCCUGCUGUCCCAGGCUGGAUUUUUUUCAGAUCUCCACGACCAAAAACUCACAACCCCAACCCCCACCCCCGAGGUUUCGUUCCUCUCAGAUCUCCUCCACUCCGUGAGCGAAGAUCAUGACGAGCCCCGGCUCCAGCACCAUGUCCUCUCCCAUGUGCUGGUUCUCGCAGGCCAUCACCACCACGGCCUGCUUGCCGGGGAUGCGUUUGGCCACGUAGUUCUCGUAGUAGCGCCGGUUCAUCUGCCGCGUCUCCAGCGUGGCCAGCCCCUGGGGCCAGUUGCGCUCGUGGGCGUUCUCGAU
rnacentral:lncRNA from 1 species